GAGGGUAGAGCUCUGUGGUAGAGUGCAUGCCUAGUGUGCAGGACGUCCUCGGUUCAAUCCCCAGUACCUCCA
rnacentral:tRNA from 1 species